rnacentral:rRNA from 1 species
GUCUAUAUGUAUAUUUAAUAUAAAGUCUAGCCUGCCCACUGAGUUUUUAAAGGGCUGCGGUAAUUUGACCGUGCAAAGGUAGCAUAAUCAGUAGUCUUUUAAUUGAAGGCUUGUAUGAACGGUUGGAUGAGGGAAAAGCUGUCUCUUUUGCAAAUUAAAAUUUGACUUUUAAGUGAAAAGGCUUAAAUUAGAUAGGGGGACGAUAAGACCCUAUAAAACUUUAUAAAAGACUAAUUUCAUUUUUAAAUUCUGUUAAAAAAUUAUGAAAUUUUUCUUUUAUUUUGUUGGGGCGACAUUAAUAUAAGCUGUAACUGUUUAAAUAAAAAUUAUAAUUAUCAUUAUUGUUUGAUCCCUCUUUGAGGAUAAGAAGACUAAGUUACUUUAGGGAUAACAGCGUAAUUUUUUUUGAGAGUUCUUAUCGAAGAAAAUAGUUGCGACCUCGAUGUUGAAUUAAAAUUUCAGGCAAGUGCAGCCGCUUGUCAUGUGGGUCUGUUCGACCUUUAAAAUUUUACAUGAUUUGAGUUCAAACCGGUGUAAG